GAUCCUUUGUGCUAUUGUUUUUGUCCACGCAGAGGCUACUUGACGCCAUUGGUGGAUUGUGGAUUCCUGCAAGGAGCGGACUACUGGACAAGGGGUGCCCUCAUGGGGUCACCUUCAUGCAAUUAACAACUGACUCAGAACUGACUCGGGCAGGGGGAAUCCGACUGUUGAAUUGAAACAAAGCAUUGCGAUGGCCCUAACGGGUGCUGACACAAUGUGAUUUCUGCCCAGUGCUCUGAAUGUCAAAGUGAGGAAAUUCAACCAAGCGCGGGUAAACGGCGGGGGCAACUAUGACUCUCUUGAGGCAGCCAAAUGCCUCGUCAUCCAAUUAGUGACGCGCAUGAAUGGAUUAAUGAGAUUCCUACUGUCCCUAUCUGCUGUCCAGCGAAACCACAGCCAAGGGAACGGGCUUGGGUGGAUCUGCGGGGAAAGAAGACCCUGUUGAGCUUGACUCUAAUCUGACUGUGUGAAAUGACUUAGGGGGUGUUCUGGCGUACUGAUCUGCGUAGACGACUCAAUCAGGUAGGGAGUUUGGCUGGGGCGGCACAUCUGUUAAAGGAUGACGCAGGUGUCCUAAGGUGAGCUCAAUGAGAACAGAAAUCUCAUGUGGAACAAAAGGGAAAAUGCUUGCUUGGUUUUGCUUUUCAGUGUGAAGACAAACUGUGCAAACAUGGCUUAUCGAUCCUUUAGGUCUGAGGGAUGUUCGGCUAGAGGUGUCAGAAAAGUUACCACAGGGAUAACUGGCUUGUGGCA
rnacentral:rRNA from 1 species